AGGAGCACUCAUCCUCACGUUGUACGCUGCCUGAUCCCCAACGAGUCAAAGACUCCAGGUCUGAUGGAGAACUUCCUGGUUAUCCACCAGCUCAGGUGUAAUGGUGUUCUGGAGGGGAUCAGGAUCUGCAGGAAGGGCUUCCCCAGUAGAAUCAUCUAUGCUGACUUCAAGCAGAGGUACAAAGUACUGAAUGCCAGUGUCAUCCCCGAGGGCCAGUUCAUG